GCUACACUGAGGCUUGCCAGGAGAAGGAGAAGCUCACCAAUAUUAUUGAAUCAAUGCAGAGAACCAGUGAUGGCAAGCUAGCAGCAAUUCAACAGCUGCGAGAAGCACAGGGUCCUGCACUGCCGUCACAAGCAGGUGAACUUCGUUGUGUUCAAUGGCUGCCAGAACCAAGGAGCCCUAGGGUGAUGUCAGGAGCA